GACGAACGCUGGCGGCGUGCUUAACACAUGCAAGUCGAACGAAGUGGCGAACGGGUGAGUAAUACGUGAGUAACUGCCCUCCUUUUUGGGAUAAGCCUUGGAAACGGGGUCUAAUACCGAAUAAAGGGGGUUGGGCUCGCGGCCUAUCAGCUUGUUGGUGGGGCGAUGGCCUACCAAGGCGGUGACGGGUAGCCGGCCUGAGAGGGGAGGGCCAGCAUUGGGCGGAGGUACCGCCCAGACACCUACGGGAGGGAGCAGUAGGGGAUAGUGCCCAAUGGGGGAGAGUCUGACGCGGCAACGCCGCGUGGAGGAUGACACUUUUCGGAGCGUAAACUCCUUUGAUCAGGAAAGCGGUACCUGAUGAAUAAGCACCGGCUAACUCCGUGCCAGCAGCCGCGGUAAUAC
rnacentral:rRNA from 1 species